GGAGAGGUGGCAGAGCGGUCUAUUGCACCGCACUUGAAAUGCGGAGUGCCUUUACGGGCACCGUGAGUUCGAAUCUCACCCUCUCCG
rnacentral:tRNA from 1 species